AUAUUAGAAGGGAAAUUUGAUUUUCUAUACUUAGAAAAUCAAAAAAUUUGAUUUCUAAACCAAUAAUUUAAACCCUAAAAAAACUAUACCUUUUUUUUCAAAACCCCAAAAAUACCCCCAAACUAAAACUAUCUCUCUUUCUCUCUCUAUCUAGCCGGUCCCAAGAAUCCCACACCCCAGGUCCGACCAUCGGACCUCUCUCUUCCCCUCUCUCUCAAAUCGCAGGAAAAAAAAAUAAUAAAAUAAAUAAAAGCCGGUCGGACCUUCGGGUCCGAUGGGUCCGAUGGUCCCAUGGGUCCGACCAUCGGACCCAUCGGACCCGAAGGUCCGACCAUCGGACCUCUUUCUUCCUCUCUCUCCAAAAUCGCAGAAAAAAAAAAAAAUUAAAAAGACGGUCGGACCUUGGGGGUCCGACCAUCGGACCUCUGUCUUCUUCCCUCUCUCAAAUCGCAGGAAAAAAAAAAAAAGUUUCAGAGACUGGGG